UUGAAUGAAACACUUCCUUCUCGUUCAUUGCAUUAUCUGUUGCAUUUCAAAUGCAAAUAUUUAUGUUUAUCUGUUGUAGGGUUGCCAUACAACAAGUAUUAUUCGAAAUUGUAGGUAUUCUGGCUGUCAUUCCAGAAAAACUUUGUAUUAUUUUGAUAUAGUUUAGGUAUUGAUUUUUGGAAAAUAUAAUAUUUUAGAAACAUGAUAACAAAUGUUAUCGUAGGUUUUAUAAGGCUGUUCUGGAAUGACAUUUGUUGGGUUUUGUUUACUUCAAGGUCUGAUACAGAAACUGGAGUAAUUUUCAUUUAAUUAAUUAGAGAUUUUUAUUGUUUAUUCGUUUGCCACCCGGCUUUUGUUUUGGGUCCUUUAAAUUCGAGAUCAUUCAGUGCGGCGUUCUUUUUGUAACGAGAUCCUCUUGCAUAGUGAUCGGACGGCCGUAUAAGGGCCUGGAGCCCGGCAUGCCACGUGCUGCCGUGGCGUUCCAUAUUUUGUGUGGUGCGUUCUGUCAGUCUGACUGGCAGAAACAUGCUAAGGGUGGGAGUGCUCCGUGGAGAUCCUCGGUCUGCAGUCUGCAGGUCUUCGGAGUCGGGCAGAAUUACAGAAGUAGAAUUUAACAAGAACUUUUACAAUUUUGAUGUGCAAGGAAACUUUCUUUGGCGUUAC